AUCUACCUUAUAAUGGGGGAUAACUAGUUGAAAAACUAGCUAAUACCGCAUAAGAACUUUAGUUCGCAUGAAUUAAAGUUGAAAGGACCUGCAAGGGUUCGUUAUUUGAUGAGGGUGCGCCAUAUCAGCUAGUUGGUAGGGUAAUGGCCUACCAAGGCAAUGACGUGUAGCUAUGCUGAGAAGUAGAAUAGCCACAAUGGGACUGAGACACGGCCCAUACUCCUACGGGAGGCAGCAGUAGGGAAUUUUUCACAAUGAGCGAAAGCUUGAUGGAGCAAUGCCGCGUGAACGAUGAAGGUCUUUUUGAUUGUAAAGUUCUUUUAUUUGGGAAGAAUGACUCUAGCAGGCAAUGGCUGGAGUUUGACUGUACCACUUUGAAUAAGUGACGACUAACUAUGUGCCAGCAGUCGCGGUAAUACAUAGGUCGCAAGCGUUAUCCGGAUUUAUUGGGCGUAAAGCAAGCGCAGGCGGAUUGAAAAGUCUGGUGUUAAAGGCAGCUGCUUAACAGUUGUAUGCAUUGGAAACUAUCAGUCUAGAGUGUGGUAGGGAGUUUUGGAAUUUCAUGUGGAGCGGUGAAAUG
rnacentral:rRNA from 1 species